rnacentral:lncRNA from 1 species
AAACCAUCACCACUAUUACCAAACACACAGUUCCAUUAAAACUGGCCAACCAUAAUCUGUGAAGCACUACAAAACUGGCAAAUGGAUCAUCCUCAGUGGUUUGUUCAUCAAUUAUGAAAUUUUUAGCUUGAAUAAGGACCAUUCACUAAGUCUCAAUUAGACUUUCAGUGUGUGAGUCACCUUUAUGCCAUGGUUCCAGGGUUGUCUUGUUGGUAAUGAUUUAAAAAUUUAGAGGGCUCUAAAUAUGUUGAAGCAUUCUGUAGGGUGUCAACUUAUGGUUGAUUUGGGACUAGGGAAAAUGAUA